CUUGCAGGAUUUGAACAAAGAGUUAUCUCGAAAACUGGAGGCACAGACCCAAAGGUUAGAACUCUUGACAGCUCAAAGGAUGGCAAAUGAGAAUAGCUUGACAAAGCCUACAAAUACCGACAACAUUCCGGAUACAAUGGAGUAUGCUGAUGAGGGAGAUGAGGUUGUUGAGAGAGUACUGGGCUGGAUAUUGAAGUUCUUUCCUGGGGGUUCUUCUAAACGUCGCACCAGCAAGCUUCUGUGACUACAAAAGGAACCAUGAAGAUACAUAGAGAGACAGAGAGAGAGAGAGAUUCAUCCUUAGGGUGGUGUUUAUACACAAAUGCUGGCAGGAUUAAGAUCUCAUCCUGCGUAUAUUGUCAUUGUUACAGAGAAAAGCAGUGAAAUUUGUGGCUGUUCUUCCUUUGAAAAGCAUACGUGGGAGAACAAUAGCUCUUUGGAGAAAUAAGCAGCAGCAUCCCCAUAUCCUCUCUCUUAUGUACUUCUCAUUUAUUCUUUAUUGAAGUUUUUGAAUACACAAAGGGUUGAAAAAUUGCACAGAAAAUGUAUGAAAUAAUCCUUAAUUUGGUUUACCAUUAUUCUUUGUUACAUAUUCUUUUUUCUGGCUUGUGGAAAGUGUGCUUGAAGGCUAAAUUUUGAUUGACAAGAUUGAUCUUAAAAAUGGCAAGCCAGUUUGUAAUGAUCAUUGAGCUGUAAGAUUCAGUUUUGACUCU